GGGCAGGUACCAAAGCGGUCAAAUGGAGCAGACUGUAAAUCUGCCGGCUUUGCCUUCGAAGGUUCGAAUCCUUCCCUGCCCA
rnacentral:tRNA from 1 species